AACUUGUUGGUUGGGUCGUGGCCAACCAAGGUUGUGACGGGUAACGGGGAAUCAGGGUUCGAUUCCGGAGAGGGAGCCUGAGAAACGGCUACCACAUCUAAGGAAGGCAGCAGGCGCGCAAAUUACCCAAUCCAGACAUUGGGAGGUAGUGACGAGAAAUACCAAAGUGUGCCUUUUGGUUCACUAUUGGAAUGAACGUAACACAGUACCUUCGAUGAGUACCUACUGGAGGGCAAGUCUGGUGCCAGCAGCCGCGGUAAUUCCAGCUCCAGUAGUGUAUAUCAACAUUGUUGCGGUUAAAACGCUCGUAGUUGGAUUACAAAAGUCAGGCGUUGGUCAGGCACUAGCUUGGUCGGCGUCGGGCUUUUUUAUCGCAAGAACCACCUGUGCAUUUAACCGUGUGCAGGUGACCACUUGCGGAGCGUGCCUUGAAUAAAGCACAGUGCUCAAAGCAAGCGUAACGCUCGAAUGUUUAAGCAUGGAACGAAUAACCUCUGACAAGGUUCAGUUGUUGGUUAUCUGAGCCGGGUCCUGAUUAAAAGGGACAUUUGAGGGCGUUAGUACUUGACGGCGAGAGGUGAAAUUCUUAGACCCGUCAAAGACUCACUAAUGCGAAAGCAUUCGCCAAGAGUGUUUUCAUUGAUCAAGAACGAAAGUUAGAGGUUCGAAGACGAUCAGAUACCGUCCUAGUUCUAUACAGUAA
rnacentral:rRNA from 1 species